GUUUACAGCUGUACCACCCUGAGCACACCCAAUCUUGUCUGAUCUCAGAAGCCAAGCAGGGUCAGGCCUGGUUAGUACUUGGAUGGGGAACCACCUGCAGAUACCAGGUGCUGUUUGUG
rnacentral:rRNA from 1 species